CAGUAUUCAGAUUCUGAUGAAAAUGAUAAUGAGAUUUCGAUUUAUGAAGAUAUGAAUAAGGAUGAAGAUUCUGAUGAAAAUGAUAAUCAGAGCGCAGGUUCUGAGGAAGAUGAUAAUCAGGAUACAGAUUCAGAAGUAAAUUCAAACAGGG